rnacentral:misc_RNA from 1 species
AAAAUGCGAUAAGUAAUGUGAAUUGCAGAAUUCAGUGAAUCAUCGAAUCUUUGAACGCACAUUGCGCCCGCCAGUAUUCUGGCGGGCAUGCCUGUUCGAGCGUCAUUUCAACCCUCAAGCCCCCGGGUUUGGUGUUGGGGAUCGGGCUGCGGCUCUCCGCGUCCCGGCCCCGAAAUCUAGUGGCGGUCUCGCUGCAGCCUCCAUUGCGUAGUAGCUAACACCUCGCAACUGGAACGCGGCGCGGCCAAGCCGUUAAACCCCCAACUUCUGAAUGUUGACCUCGGAUCAGGUAGGAAUACCCGCUGAACUUAAGC